UAGCUACAGGCUUAACACAUGCAAGUCGAGGGGAAACGAUAUUGGAAGCUUGCUUCUGAUAGGCGUCGACCGGCGCACGGGUGAGUAACGCGUAUCCAACCUGCCCAUCACUUGGGGAUAACCUUGCGAAAGUAAGACUAAUACCCAAUGACGUCUCUAGAAGACAUCUGAAAGAGAUUAAAGAUUUAUCGGUGUACGAUGGGGAUGCGUUCCAUUAGGUAGUAGGCGGGGUAACGGCCCACCUAGCCAACGAUGGAUAGGGGUUCUGAGAGGAAGGUCCCCCACAUUGGAACUGAGACACGGUCUAAACUCCUACGGGAGGCAGCAGUGAGGAAUAUUGGUCAAUGGACGAGAGUCUGAACCAGCCAAGUAGCGUGAAGGAUGAAGGUCCUACGGAUUGUAAACUUCUUUUAUAAGGGAAUAAACCCUCCCACGUGUGGGAGCUUGUAUGUACCUUAUGAAUAAGCAUCGGCUAACUCCGUG
rnacentral:rRNA from 1 species